CGGGGUGUAUGAAAUAUUUUAUAUCUUUAAUAAUUUUUUAGGGACGAAAUAUUUUAUAUCUUUAAUCAUUUUUUGGGGAGAGAGGAUUUAACUUGGUUUUACUUUAGCCGAAUGUCUUGGCCCAAAAAUAGCAAGCCUGGUCAAUUUCAAAGUUGGUUCUACCACCAGACCAGCCUUAACCCUUAAGUUUAAAGUCCAAUGAAUGUCCCAAUUUAAUAGACGCAGAUGUUUCACACGGUACGUACGUGUAUGAACAGAGUCUUUCCGGUUCCACCAUUAAUUUGAAUUACUCUCUCUCUCUCUCUCUCUUCCGUGUAGCUUCGAAAUCUUUGGUUUUACUGGAACCGUGAUUGAGUUUUGGAGUUGUCAGAUCUGUAGUAAUCCAAACAGAAUCAAAGCUGUAAUUAACAAAAGGAGGUUAGUCUUUUGAGGUUUUUCGAUUGAAAUUUUCAAUCCAUUUGUCUAAUAUAUAUUCAUAUUUGUAUAGAGAUUAUUGUGGGUAGUCUUGAUUUUGCUGACUGAUUUAUGGGUAACCAUUGAUUUUUCCGGUAAUUAAUAUGCAUUGAUUGAUUUUUGGUAAUCAGGUGAAAGAAGGAAGAAGAUGGGUCACCAUCAUCAUCACCAUCAUGAAAUGGAUAACAAUCCACUCGUGGCUUGUUGUUGCUGUCCCUGUUUAUUAGUCGCCUCUGUUUUGGGAGUGAUUGGGAGGUGCUUGUUCUACCCAAUUCUGCAGUGCUUUGGAUGGGAUGAGCACGGACAUCACCAUCAUCACCACCACAGGCAUUACGACUGAUACCCUGCUUAUUUAUAUUUUUCUGUACUUCAAUUGAAUUCGUGUGUAGAGCUUUGUUGCAAACUCAUUUUUCUCGUUUGAUUUGACUUUCUGUAAAAUUAGUUUCCUCUAAUAAGUUUAUUGGUUAUGGUGUUCACAUUAUAUUCUUCUUGGUUAUGAUUAUCUUUUAAGUUGGUGAAAUUAAUCGAGUCCAAUCACUACCGAGCCUAACUCCACGAUAUUUGUAGUAAAAACAACCUGAAAAAAAAUUGAAAGGAAGGGAAUUUCAGAACCACUUGAUAUGCAUCAAAAUGAAGAUUUAGUUUUUCUUCUCUGUUCUUUGAAAAUGCAAUAUUAAAGUAUGGUUUGACUUUAGGCAGCCUCUUAGUACGAGGAGUUGUAUGCAUUUUGCCAUUAUUAUAGGGUGUUUGUCUUUUUUUCUGCCUGCCAAAUAUAAUAACAGGUAGGUAGCAGAUGUUGUAUUUAUUUCCCUUGUAGUUGGAG
rnacentral:lncRNA from 1 species